rnacentral:rRNA from 1 species
GAGUUUGAUCUUGGCUCAGAUUGAACGCUGGCGGCAUGCCUUACACAUGCAAGUCGAACGGCAGCACGGGAGCUUGCUCCUGGUGGCGAGUGGCGAACGGGUGAGUAAUGCAUCGGAACGUAUCCUGGAGUGGGGGAUAACGUAGCGAAAGUUACGCUAAUACCGCAUAUUCUGUGAGCAGGAAAGCGGGGGACCUUCGGGCCUCGCGCUCUUGGAGCGGCCGAUGUCGGAUUAGCUAGUUGUGAGUAAAGGCUCACCGAGGCGACGAUCCGUAGCAGGUCUGAGAGGAUGAUCU